AGAUUUUCGGAUCCGUACUGAGAUUUUGUCCGAUACCAACCCACUAAGGCUGAUGAAACUUCCAAAAUAAGUGAAGUU
rnacentral:pre_miRNA from 1 species